UCAUGUGAGGGUUCUCAGUGUUGACAGGCUAGUAAUACAGUAGUUGAACUACUUAUAGGACCACUCUGCCACCAUAAGUCGAUCAGUACGAAAUAUUUUAUUGAAAUGUGUUAGAUUUUUGUUUUCAAUCUAUUUUUUAAUUUUAAUUGUACUAUUUUAUUUAUUUUGUUUAAUAUAACAAGGAUGUGGAGUCCGAACAGGGUGAAAUUUGGGUCAAAGGGAGGCAAUUUAUUAUACCCUUGUUUAACUCCACAUACUUGAAAUUCCCUCAAUGUUAGGAUUUUCAUCUACUUGGAUAUUCAUGUUUGUACAUUUUUUUUUAAUAUCAGAUGUAUACUAGCUAAUAUUGACUAUUAUUUAGAGCUCUGUAAUAAAAAAAAAUAAAUGUAAGCAGAGCUCUAGAUAAGUAUGCAGGGUGGGAGAAAUCUUGGGUCAUUAACAAUUGAUUUGCUGAAAUUUUCAAGAAAGGGGAUUUAUUGGAAAUGCAUCUGAUAUAUUUAAUGUAUAAAACUAUAUUUAAAAAAAAAAGAUGUUAAGAUGAUGAGGAGAGCCACCUUGUCAGCCGGGAGAGCAGCUCUAAGGGAGAUGGUCAAUUUAAUCUUCACCAAGUCAGAGGCUUUACCAUGAAAAAUAUGUGGUUGUUAUAAUGAUGAUGUUUUCAUGGUGUUGGGAGUAAGACUUGGAUGUCUGAUAUUGUUAACAUGUUGGUUAGCAUCAGGUUUCCAUUGGGUUACUUGCUGGGAUAAAGCUG